rnacentral:rRNA from 1 species
UACGUAGGUGGCAAGCGUUAUCCGGAAUUAUUGGGCGUAAAGCGCGCGCAGGCGGUUUCUUAAGUCUGAUGUGAAAGCCCAGCGGCUCAACCGUGGAGGGUCAUUGGAAACUGGGGAACUUGAGUGCAGAAGAGAAAAGCGGAAUUCCACGUGUAGCGGUGAAAUGACGUAGAGAUGUGGAGGAACACCAGUGGCGAAGGCGGCUUUUGGUCUGUAACUGACGCUGAGGCGCGAAAGCGUGGGGAGCAAACAGG